UAUGUAUGUAUGUAUACCUGUUCCAAUGACAGAGUUAGAGAUGUCCAUGUUCACACAACGUGUUACAUGGAUUCCAUCAGUGUUGGGACUAUCGCCUGGUGCAGUGACUGUGAGAUUGAAAGCCAUGACUGUGUUGCAAUUCACAAACAUGACUUGCAUUUGUUGGCAGUCUUUUACAUGAGAGCUUCCACCAAGAAUUUCCAUUACCGUUAAUGGUUCCACCACCUUGGACUACUAAAUCAUUAAUAUUUUCAAACAUAAGCCAGUUGCUUUCGUGUCCAUUGUAGUCUGAUGGAUCGGAGGGUGCUUCUAUAGUCCCAUCAAUCUGAACUGUAACUUUGGAUUUGCAUGGACCGCGGAACACAAUUGGCUUAACAAGAUAGGUGUUUUGAGAAGGCACCACUAGUACAAUAGGAACAUUAGAUGAACAAGCCUUCUGCCAUGCCUUCUCAAAUGCCUGCAACAACAACAACAACAACAACAACAGGUCUUUUCAAACUUUGAAACAUUUUGUCAAUAAUGUUAUACUACUUUAGUUUGAACAUAUACAUACCAUCGUGUCAUCUUGGCCCCUUCCUUUUGCUCCAAAAUCAUCAACAUUAAUAACUCCUCGUUUUUGAACUGGCACAGGCCUUGGCAUUGGGUGAGAUCGAGGCUUAGGCUUAGGCUGAGGCUUUGGCUGAGGCUUCGGUUGAGGCUUUGGCUGUGUCUGUGGCUGAGGCUUUUGGUGGUCAAUGGUAUCAGAAUCACAGCUUGGAAUAACAUCUCUAAAACGAGUGAAUUCCACAUUUUGGCACACAGCUUUGGUAUGGCCUUGGUUUUUAUAGUAUGUGAAGUGAACAUUUUCCAUUUUAAUGUCUUUGCAAGGAAAACUCUCACUGCAGUCCAAUUUAAUAGCUUCUUUGGUUACA